CAGCAGCCGCGGUAAUACGGGGGGGACAAGCGUUGUUCGGAUUUACUGGGCGUAAAGGGCGCGUAGGCGGACCUUCAAGUCGGAUGUGAAACCCCCGGGCUUAACCCGGGGCCUGCACCCGAUACUGUUGGUCUUGAGUACAGGAGAGGAGAGUGGAAUUCCAGGUGUAGCGGUGAAAUGCGUAGAUAUCUGGAAGAACACCAGUAGCGAAGGCGGCUCUCUGGACUGAUACUGACGCUCAAGCGCGAAGGCUUGGGGAGCAAACAGGAUUAGAUACCCCGGUAGUCCUGGCCCUAAACGAUGGGCACUAGGUAGCGGGCUUCCAUGGGCCCGCUGCCGGAGCAAAAGUGUUAAGUGCCCCGCCUGGGGAGUAUGGUCGCAAGGCUGAAACUCAAAGGAAUUGACGG
rnacentral:rRNA from 1 species